GGAAUGUUCCUCUCUGAGACACGCCUACCUUUUCUGGAUGAAAAGUUCGGCUUGCUUCCUUGCAUCUGGAACUCCUGGGUCGGUAGUGUCUGCAGAGUCAGGGCAGGCACGAUGUCUGAAGCAAUGCCCUCUUUGUUGGAUUUUCCAGGCUCUGAGCACCACUCAGCUGUUUCUUUCCCAGGAGAGUUUUUUCAUACUGGAGACUUUGGACACAAAGUGUGAUACAUAUUGUCACCAUCCUAACACUGCUCCUCCCAGACCACCCAUUUUCUAGUUAAGGACUCCUCAUCUUAGAGGAACUUAGUAGGACAGAAGUUUCAGCCAGGAAGAACUACCAGGUCAGCUCCACGUCCCCACCUGAACCUGUGAGAUAACCACCUCCUCUCCCAAGCCUGCCUUUGACAUGAGGAAAAGCCACGUAGGAAGAUGACGACUUCUCCAAGAACUUAAAUGGAAGAGGCCUUAGCACCCAGGCCUUAUCCCUUAGGUCAUCCUUCGUUCCAGUGAAAGGAAACUUUGCUCCCCGUUAUUCUGGAAAGUUACUGACUUGAGCACUAGGGAUAAGCAGCUGGGUGGCUUGAGAUAGAACUGUCAAAACCAACAACUAAUCAUGGUUCAGAGCACGUGGACAUUUCAACAGGAGCCUGGAGGAGAAGGCAGGGCUUCUUUCCUCAACUGCACAAAUUAAAUAACACAGAACUCCAUCCAAUCCAGAUUUUACCUGCCAUUAAGUAAUAAGUGGAUUGGAAACAUUUUUUUUUUUUUUGAGACGGUCUUGCAGUAUAUCCCUACCUGCCAUGGGACAUACAGUAAACCAGGCUGGCCUUGAACUUUCAGCAACCGCCUGCCAAUGUCUCCUGAGCUGGAAUUAUACAUUCGGGCCUUAACCGGACUU
rnacentral:lncRNA from 1 species